UGGUCUGAUCUCAAGAUUAGCCAUGCAUGUGUAAGUAUAAGCGAUUGUACUGUGAGACUGCGAACGGCUCAUUAUAUCAGUAAUAAUUUCUUCGAUAGUUUCUUUUAUAUGGAUACCUGCAGUAAUUCUGGAAAUAAUACAUGCUGUAAGAGCCCUGUAUGGGGCUGCACUUAUUAGAUUGAAGCCGAUUUUAUUGGUGAAUCAUGAUAAUUGAGCAGAUUGACUAUUUUUAGUCGAUGAAUCGUUUGAGUUUCUGCCCCAUCAGUUGUUGACGGUAGUGUAUUGGACUACGGUGACUAUAACGGGUGACGGAGAGUUAGGGCUCGACUCCGGAGAGGGAGCCUGAGAGACGGCUACCAUAUCCAAGGAUAGCAGCAGGCGCGUAAAUUACCCACUGUGGACUCCACGAGGUAGUGACGAGAAAUAUCGAUGCGAAGCGUGUAUGCGUUUUGCUAUCGGAAUGAGAGCAAUGUAAAACCCUCAUCGAGGAUCAACUGGAGGGCAAGUCUGGUGCCAGCAGCCGCGGUAAUUCCAGCUCCAGAAGCAUAUGCUAAAGUUGUUGCAGUUAAAAAGCUCGUAGUUGAAUUUCUGGCAUGGGCGACCGGUGCUCUCCCUGAAUGGGGAUUGAUUGUCUGUGUUGCCUUGGCCAUCUUUCUCAUGCUGUUUUCGGUAUGAGAUCUUUCACUGUAAUCAAAGCAGAGUGUUCCAAGCAGGUCGUAUGACCGGUAUGUUUAUUAUGGGAUGAUAAGAUAGGACUUGGGUGCUAUUUUGUUGGUUUGCACGCCUGAGUAAUGGUUAAUAGGAACAGUUGGGGGUAUUCGUAUUUAGGAGCUAGAGGUGAAAUUCUUGGAUUUCCGAAAGACGAACUAGAGCGAAGGCAUUUACCAAGCAUGUUUUCAUUAAUCAAGAACGAAAGUCUGGGGAUCGAAGAUGAUUAGAUACCAUCGUAGUCUAGACCGUAAACGAUGCCGACUUGCGAUUGUUGGGUGCUUUUUUAUAUGGGCCCUCAGCAGCAGCAC
rnacentral:rRNA from 1 species